GACGAACGCUGGCGGCGUGCUUAACACAUGCAAGUCGAGCGGUAAGGCCCUUCGGGGUACACGAGCGGCGAACGGGUGAGUAACACGUGGGUGACCUGCCCUCCACUCUGGGAUAAGCCUGGGAAACCGGGUCUAAUACCGGAUAGGACCUCUGGGUGCAUGCCUGGGGGUGGAAAGUUUUUUCGGUGGGGGAUGGGCCCGCGGUCUAUCAGCUUGUUGGUGGGGUGAUGGCCUACCAAGGCGACGACGGAUAGCCGACCUGAGAGGGUGAUCGGCCACACUGGGACUGAGACACGGCCCAGACUCCUACGGGGGGCAGCAGUGGGGAAUCUUGCGCAAUGGGCGGAAGCCUGACGCAGCAACGCCGCGUGGGGGAUGACGGCCUUCGGGUUGUAAACCUCUUUCGCGAUCGACGAAGGUCCAGUUUCUGCUGGGCUGACGGUAGGUCGAGAAGAAGCACCGGCCAACUACGUGCCAGCCGCCGCGGUAAUAC
rnacentral:rRNA from 1 species